GACGAACGCUGGCGGCGUGCUUAACACAUGCAAGUCGAACGGAAAGGCCCUGCUUUUGUGGGGUGCUCGAGUGGCGAACGCGUGAGUAACACGUGAGUAACCUGCCCUUGUCUUUGUGAUAACUUCAGGAAACUGGGGCUAUUACCGGAGAGGAGCUACUGAUGCAUGUGGUUGGUUGGAAAGUUUCGGCGGUUCGGGAUGGACUCGCUGGUUAUCAGCUUGUUGGGCUGGUAGUUGCGUACCAGGGCUUUGACGGGUAGCCCGCCUGAGAGCGUGGACGGGCACCUGAGUCCUGAGAUACGCACCAGUAUCCUACGGGCGGCAGCAGUCGAGAAUAUUGCACAACGGCCGCACGUCUGAUGCAGCAAUGCUGCGUGCGUGAUGCCGGCCUUCGGGUUGUGAACAGAUUUGGACUGUGACGAAGAGUGCGUGACGGUAAUGGGUCAAGAAGCCCCGGCUAACUACGUG
rnacentral:rRNA from 1 species